rnacentral:rRNA from 1 species
GACGAACGCUGGCGGCGUGCUUAACACAUGCAAGUCGAACGAAGUGGCGCACCGGUCCGUAAUGCGUGCGUAUCCUGCCCUCCUUUUUGGGAUAAGCCUUGGAAACGGGUUCUAAUACCGAAUAAUGGGGGCUGGGCUCGCGGCCUCUCAGCUUGUUGGUGGGGUGAUGGCCUACCAAGGCGGUGACGGGUAGCCGGCGUGGGAGGGAGACCGGGAACAGUGGGCAGGGGAUACGGCCCAGAGGACUACGCGGGGGAGCAGUGGGGGAUAUGGCACAAUGGGCGAAAGGCCGAUGCAGAGACGGGGCGGGGGGGAUGAAGGCUUGCGGGUUGUAAAACUCUGGCGAGAGCGAACGGGGAGGUGGAGAAGAAGCGCCGGCUAACUACGUGCCAGCCGCCGCGGUAAUAC